rnacentral:lncRNA from 1 species
UCUUAUCACCGGCGGCUCUUCAGGGUACCCACCUUCCUCUGACCUCCUCGCCAUUUUCGUUUACUCCCAGUGAUCCUUCAAGACACAGACGAGCUUUGGAGGAAUGCUUCCUCUUUAAUCCUUCUUAUUAUUCCGCUACUUUUGGAGGGAAAUUUGGAAAGAGAAGAAAAAAAAGGCGGGGAUUUUCGCUCUCUAAGUUGCGAUUCUUUGGACCAAUUAAUACGUUUCGAAGGAGGUGCCCCCAGUUCGAAUCUAUAAAACUUUAGAAAGAGAAAGAUGGUGAGUUCAUGUAGAGAGAGAAAGUGUAUCGUUG